UGUGGGAGCGGGCUUGCUCGCGAAUGCGGUGGGUCAGUCAAUUCAUUUCUUACUGAUCCACCGCUUUCGCGAGCAAGCCCGCUCCCACA
rnacentral:misc_RNA from 1 species